rnacentral:rRNA from 1 species
AGAGUUUGAUCCUGGCUCAGAGCGAACGCUGGCGGCGUGCUUAACACAUGCAAGUCGAACGCGCAGCAUUCUGUAGCAAUGCAGGGUGUGGGCGCGUGGCGAACGGGUGCGUAACACGUGGAUAACCUUCCUUCAGGUGGGGAAUAACCCAGUGAAAAUUGGGCUAAUACCGCAUAACAUCGCGAUAGCACAUGCUGUUGCGUUCAAAGGCGCAAGUCGCCAGAAGAGGGAUCCGCGGCCGAUUAGCUUGUUGGCGGGGUAAUGGCCCACCAAGGCUUUGAUCGGUAGCCGGACUGAGAGGUUGGCCGGCCACACUGGAACUGAGACACGGUCCAGACUCCUACGGGAGGCAGCAGUGGGGAAUCUUGCACAAUGGACGAAAGUCUGAUGCAGCAACGCCGCGUGGGGGAUGAAGCUUCUCGGAGUGUAAACCCCUUUCGACCGGGACGAAUACCUCGCAAGAGGGGUGACGGUACCGGUAUAAGAAGCCCCGGCUAACUACGUGCCAGCAGCCGCGGUAAGACGUAGGGGGCCAGCGUUGCUCGGAAUUACUGGGUGUAAAGGGUUCGUAGGCGGUGUGGCAAGUCGGGAGUGAAAUCUCUGGGCUUAACUCAGGGGCUGCUUCCGAAACUGCCGUGCUAGAGUGUGGGAGAGGCGCGUGGAAUUGCAGGUGUAGCGGUGAAAUGCGUAGAUAUCUGCAGGAACACCCGUGGCGAAAGCGGCGCGCUGGAACACUACUUGACGCUGAGAACGAAAGCUAGGGGAGCAAACAGGAUUAGAUACCCUGGUAGUCCUAGCCCUAAACGAUCAUGAACUUGGGGUGGCUACCCGUUCGGGUGG